AUUAUUACAGUUCUCUUGUGUACGUUUCAUUUGUUGAUUUCAUUUUCCUCUUGACUGGAUGAGUUAAUUCCCAUUUUACAUAAAUAAGGAACAGAUUUCUUCAGCUGAUAUUAGGUUUUAAACACUCUUAUUAGCUGUGUACAUGAAACCACCUUUAUUACUUACUACUUGCUUUAUCUUGUUAAAAAAAGAGACCACAGAAACUCAAAAUAUGCAUGUGCGUCAUCAUUUAGAGAAGUAAAAAUGGCCCCAGAGAAACUGUUUAAUAAUGUUAUGAAGAGCUAUGAGAAGGGAAGCCACGUCUAUCUCAGUGCAUAAAAGGUUGUGUGCAUUCAAUUUCAGUUGAAGACCAGUUCUCUCAUGAACUGAAAUGUUCCAUGUCAACAGGAGAUGCAGAAUCAUACUUGUCAUUGGAGACCAAAUUUGUCUAAACUUUUGGUUAUUGUAUGUGUUGUGACAAUGUUUCAGAAGCACAUUGUCUAAGAGUAUUAAAAUGGUUUUCAAUCAGGGAAAUAUGUCAGAGUUCAUUGAAAACAUACCA
rnacentral:lncRNA from 1 species